CUCUGCUGCUGUAAAUCACCAUACAGUCUACUCAGCUGUCGCAGCGUACACGGAGCAGGUACAAGUCGUGGCGACUUGCUGUCGCUGUAAGUCCACAGAUAAAUAUCCUGUAAUGGCAUGAUUGCAGGCUUUCAGAAAGGUCAUGCUUUGCUCCGGGGGAAGAGCGGCGGCUGUUCCAGAGAAUAAAAGUCACCUCGAAGCCCGGUGCUUCUCUACCACAGAAGCUGUGAUAACGUAUUAAGGACGUUUCUAAGAAUGUGACGAAGAGAUGAUGUUAGAAAUUUCUGUGGCAGAAGGCCCAGCCAUCCCCGCUCUCUCCGUUUAGAACAGAGUGCACGAGUAGUUACAGAAAUAAAUGGAAUGGAUUUUACAUCUGGAGCUAAAGGCUGGGGUCCACGUUGGUUAAGCCUUCCCUACCUUCAACACAGAUGCUAUCACAAAGAUGGAUUCACAGUCAAGGUGGACUUCGAUUCCAGAAUUCAGUUUCUCCUUUAGCUCUCUGCAAGAUUUCAUGUUGGCCGACUGCCUGAAGAUGCCUUUUGUGAGGGGGCCUUUUUGGUUAAGGAAGGAAAGCAUAUCCUGCAAGGAAGCGGAGGAAAUA
ensembl:antisense Arhgap20os Rho GTPase activating protein 20, opposite strand